rnacentral:misc_RNA from 1 species
GAUGAAGAACGCAGCGAAAUGCGAUAAGUAAUGUGAAUUGCAGAAUUCAGUGAAUCAUCGAAUCUUUGAACGCACAUUGCGCCCAUUAGUAUUCUAGUGGGCAUGCCUGUUCGAGCGUCAUUAAGUCCACUUAAGCCCUGCUUAGUGUUGGGAGACUGCUCCAGCGGUGCUACCCUGUAGCUACCCUGCAGCUCCUCAAAGACAGCGGCGGAGUUGUGGUAUCCUCUGAGCUUAGUAACUUGUUCUAGCUUUGGAGUACACCACUUCCCCUGCCGUAAAACCCUUAAUUUUUAAUGGUUGACCUCGGAUCAGGUAGGAAUACCCGCUGAACUUAAGCAUAUCAAUAAGCGGAGGA